rnacentral:rRNA from 1 species
AUUGAACGCUGGCGGCAUGCCUUACACAUGCAAGUCGAACGGCAGCACGGGAGCAAUCCUGGUGGCGAGUGGCGAACGGGUGAGUAAAGUAUCGGAACGUGCCCAGUCGUGGGGGAUAACGUAGCGAAAGUUACGCUAAUACCGCAUACGAUCUAUGGAUGAAAGCGGGGGAUCGCAAGACCUCGCGCGAUUGGAGCGGCCGAUAGCAGAUUAGGUAGUUGGUGGGGUAAAGGCUAACCAAGCCGACGAUCGGAAGCUGGUCUGAGAGGACGACCAGCCACACUGGGACUGAGACACGGCCCAGACUCCUACGGGAGGCAGCAGUGGGGAAUUUUGGACAAUGGGCGAAAGCCUGAUCCAGCCAUGCCGCGUGCAGGAUGAAGGCCUUCGGGUUGUAAACUGCUUUUGUACGGAACGAAAAGGUUUGGCCUAAUAAGCUGAGCUCAUGACGGUACCGUAAGAAUAAGCACCGGCUAACUACGUGCCAGCCGCCGCCGUAA